rnacentral:rRNA from 1 species
UGGAAGUAAAAAGUCGUAACAAGGUUUCCGUAGGUGAACCUGCGGAAGGAUCAUUACAGAAUGAAAAGUGCUUAACUGCAUUUUUUCUUACACAUGUGUUUUUCUUUUUUUGAAAACUUUGCUUUGGUAGGCCUUCUAUAUGGGGCCUGCCAGAGAUUAAACUCAACCAAAUUUUAUUUAAUGUCAACCGAUUAUUUAAUAGUCAAAACUUUCAACAACGGAUCUCUUGGUUCUCGCAUCGAUGAAGAACGCAGCGAAAUGCGAUAAGUAAUAUGAAUUGCAGAUAUUCGUGAAUCAUCGAAUCUUUGAACGCACAUUGCGCCCUUUGGUAUUCCAAAGGGCAUGCCUGUUUGAGCGUCAUUUCUCCCUCAAACCCUCGGGUUUGGUGUUGAGCGAUACGCUGGGUUUGCUUGAAAGAAAGGCGGAGUAUAAACUAAUGGAUAGGUUUUUUCCACUCAUUGGUACAAACUCCAAAACUUCUUCCAAAUUCGACCUCAAAUCAGGUAGGACUACCCGCUGAACUUAAGCAUAUCAUUAAGCGGAGGAA